rnacentral:tRNA from 1 species
GGGGAUGUGGCUCAGUUGGUAGAGAGUUUGCCUAGCAUGCACAUGUCCCUCCCUGGGAUCCAUCCCCAGCACCACCA